rnacentral:rRNA from 1 species
GACGAACGCUGGCGGCGUGCCUAAUACAUGCAAGUAGAACGCUGAAGGAGGAUCUUGCUCUUCUGGAUGAGUUGCGAACGGGUGAGUAACGCGUAGGUAACCUGCCUGGUAGCGGGGGAUAACUAUUGGAAACGAUAGCUAAUACCGCAUAAGAGUAGAUGUUGCAUGACAUUUGCUUAAAAGGUGCAAUUGCAUCACUACCAGAUGGACCUGCGUUGUAUUAGCUAGUUGGUGGGGUAACGGCUCACCAAGGCGACGAUACAUAGCCGACCUGAGAGGGUGAUCGGCCACACUGGGACUGAGACACGGCCCAGACUCCUACGGGAGGCAGCAGUAGGGAAUCUUCGGCAAUGGACGGAAGUCUGACCGAGCAACGCCGCGUGAGUGAAGAAGGUUUUCGGAUCGUAAAGCUCUGUUGUAAGAGAAGAACGAGUGUGAGAGUGGAAAGUUCACACUGUGACGGUAGCUUACCAGAAAGGGACGGCUAACUACGUG